rnacentral:lncRNA from 1 species
GCCAGAAGGGGUGCGAGGCGGCGGAGGAGGGGACCAGCGGGUUGCCGCCUUGGCUCGCCAGCUUGGCAACGGGAAGGCGGGAGAGGAGCGGCGAGAGAGACCGAGCCGUCCUCCUUCGCAGCCGGCACUGGCUCUACUCGGCCGCCCUCUGCAUUGGCUUCUCCUCCCUUCGCUCCCUCCUCCCCUUCCUCUCUCUCUCUCUCUGCGCUCUGAGGAGAAAGAGAGAGAGAAACCGACACCGCUUUCUUCUUUCCCGCCUCAACUUCUUCAGCAAUCAGCGCCACUCAGUUCCCUUCAGCUCUUUCUUGUCGCCUCCUCAUGGCUAUUUCAGAAAUGGGAAUAAUAAUAAUAAUAAUCCCUCCUCAGAUGACUGUUGGGACUCCCCUGAUACUGCCACCAGGACAACUUUGUCAGUGGUCCUAAUACGGGACGCUUUGUCUGUCUCUGUCUCUGUUUUGUUGUUGUUCCCCAGCCCUCGUCCGGGAGGAGAGUAGGUGCCAAGCCCUGGCGGAGUUUUAUAGCCUUGGCCUGACGUCGGUCCGAGGAAGAGCCCUGGGCGCGAGCGGCCAGGCCAAUGGGAAGCCGAGGAGACAACCCCCUCAUUUGCAUCUCGAGAGGGGCGCGCGAGGAGGAAACUUUCGGCGGAGCUGUCAAUCAAAAAAGGGAAAAAAAAGGGGGGGGAGAGGCCCAAUCAGCUGACUGUCAGCUGGGACCCCGGAGGCGGGUUAACCCUUUCCUGGCUAUUGAGCAAGAGAAAGGAAGGGAAAGGAAGCAGCAUCCACUGGACGUGGCAGCAGGGAUCCCAGGCGCGUGGCUCCAUUGCACUGGAGAGAAACAUCCAAAUCUAGAACGUCAGAAUGGUAAGUAUGAUUUUUUUACAAUUCCUAAACUGGCCUGCAGCCACUAUAAUCUUCUUUUUGACUGCAGUUUCUUGUGCUUUUCUGGCUUUCUUUCCAAACUCAGAAAAAUCUUUCAAAAUCUACCCAGAGCACAAAACUGA